CCUUGUUACCGCCAUGACUUCUAUACUGAAAGAAGCAUAACAGAGAAAUGGUUCGAGGACAAAGCUCAUAUCCUGAAUCUGAAUUAAGUUUGCGAAUGGGUUUCUUGUGCCAGGUUUACGACGCUGAUUGCUAUCCGAGAAUGGCCAAGACCAUGUUGUGGUUGUCCAUCCGCUUGAUUUGCUCAGUUUUAAGUACUACUUACUUUUCAAGACAUCGACAUUCUUGGUUUUGACUAGUUUGGGAAGUUGGGCAAUACAGGAGAGUUUGAACUAGCUUUUGCUAUUAUUCAGGCUGUACAUUUAUUUCCUGAUUAUGUCCAUUUGUUCUUCGGUUCAAUGCAAACCACACGAGACAAUUAAACUUGCAAUUA